GACGAACGCUGGCGGCGUGCUUAACACAUGCAAGUCGAACGGAAAGGCCCUGCUUUUGUGGGGUGCUCGAGUGGCGAACGGGUGAGUAACACGUGAGUAACCUGCCCUUGACUUUGGGAUAACUUCAGGAAACUGGGGCUAAUACCGGAUAGGAGCUCCUGCUGCAUGGUGGGGGUUGGAAAGUUUCGGCGGUUGGGGAUGGUCUCGCGGCUUAUCAGCUUGUUGGUGGGGUAGUGGCUUACCAAGGCUUUGACGGGUAGCCGGCCUGGGAGGGUGACCGGCCACAUUGGGACUGAGAGACGGACCAGGCUGCUACGGGAGGCAGCAGUGGGGAAGAUGGCAGAAUGGGCGGAAGCGAGAGGCAGAAACGCCGCGUGCGGGAUGACGGCCUUCGGGUUGUAAACCGCUUUCGCCUGUGACGAAGCGUGAGUGACGGUAAUGGGUAAAGAAGCACCGGCUAACUACGUG
rnacentral:rRNA from 1 species